UUUUUACGUCGACAUUGUAUAGCUUUCAUAGUCAAUAGAGCCAUAGUCCUAACUUCAUCUAAUUUUUUCAAUUCUGCUAAUCAAUAUUGGAGGGAUCCUUUGUCACUAAGACAUUCAUCCAACACAAUUUUCAAACACUAUAUCUCCAAUUCAAUUAGUAAUAUUGUCUCUUGUCCGUAUACUAAUUGGAAUAGUAUGGAAUUGAUAGUCACUUUAUACCCAGUACAAUAUACCUACAAUGCUAUAAAUAAUUUAGUAUAUCAUUUUGUUCCCUCACCAGAUACUGUCUUAGUUAAAAUUUUACAUAGAGUAUCAUUGGUCUUUUCAAUCUACCCAUUGGCCCAAAGAUGAUAUGGGAUUAUUUUCCAAUAUUUGAUCUCAUAUUUAUCCGUCAAUGCUGCAAUCAUAGAAUUAAUAAAAUAAAUUUUUUGAUUGCUAAUCAAUUUUUUGGGACACCUAAAACACGUGAUAAUCUUCUCAUAUAAAAAU
rnacentral:lncRNA from 1 species